rnacentral:rRNA from 1 species
GACGAACGCUGGCGGCGUGCCUAAUACAUGCAAGUCGAACGAGAGCGACCGGUGCUUGCACUGGUCAAUCUAGUGGCGAACGGGUGAGUAACACGUGGGUAACCUGCCCAUCAGAGGGGGAUAACAUUCGGAAACGGAUGCUAAAACCGCAUAGGUCUUCGAACCGCAUGGUUUGAAGAGGAAAAGAGGCGCAAGCUUCUGCUGAUGGAUGGACCCGCGGUGCAUUAGCUAGUUGGUGAGGUAACGGCUCACCAAGGCCGUGAUGCAUAGCCGACCUGAGAGGGUGAUCGGCGACAUUGGGACUGAGACACGGCCCAAACUCCUACAGGAGGCAGCGGUAGGGAAUCUUCCGCGAUGGACGCAAGUCUGACGGAGCAACGCCGCGUGAGUGAAGAAGGUUUUCGGAUCGUAAAACUCUGUUGUUAGAGAAGAACAAGUGCUAGAGUAACUGUUAGCGCCUUGACGGUAUCUAGCCAGAAAGCCACGGCUAACUACGUG